UACGGGGGGGGCAAGCGUUGUUCGGAAUUACUGGGCGUAAAGCGUGCGCAGGCGGUGAUGUAAGACAGAUGUGAAAUCCCCGGGCUCAACCUGGGAACUGCAUUUGUGACUGCAUCGCUGGAGUGCGGCAGAGGGGGAUGGAAUUCCGCGUGUAGCAGUGAAAUGCGUAGAUAUGCGGAGGAACACCGAUGGCGAAGGCAAUCCCCUGGGCCUGCACUGAC
rnacentral:rRNA from 1 species